rnacentral:rRNA from 1 species
GAUGAACGCUGGCGGCAGGCCUAAUACAUGCAAGUCGGACGGGAACCAUUGAUAUCUGGCUAUCAAUGGUGAGAGUGGCGCGCGGGUGCGUAACGCGUGAGCAACCUGCCUCCAUCAGGGGGAUAGCCGCUCGAAAGAGAGAUUAACACCACAUAAUAUCAACAGUUCGCAUGGUCAGUUGAGUUAAUAUGUAUAGGAUGGAGAUGGGCUCGCGUGACAUUAGCUAGUUGGUAGGGUAACGGCUUACCAAGGCGACGAUGUCUAGGGGCUCUGGGAGGAGGCGCCCCCACAGUGUUACUGGGCCACGGACCAGACUCCUACGGGACGCAGCAGUAAGGAAUAGUGGUGAAUGGACGGAAGCCUGAACCAGCCAUGCCGCGUGCAGGAUGACUGCCCUCUGGAUGGUAAACUGCUUUUGUCCAGGAAUAAUCCUAAAUACGAGUGUUUAGCUGACUGUACUGGAAGAAUAAGGAUCGGCUAACUCCGUG